AUUGAACGCUGGCGGCGUGCCUUACACAUGCAAGUCGAACGGCAGCACGGGAGCAAUCCUGGUGGCGAGUGGCGAACGGGUGAGUAAUAUAUCGGAACGUGCCCAGUCGUGGGGGAUAACGCAGCGAAAGCUGUGCUAAUACCGCAUACGAUCUAAGGAUGAAAGCGGGGGAUCGCAAGACCUCGCGCGAUUGGAGCGGCCGAUAUCAGAUUAGCUAGUUGGUGGGGUAAAGGCCCACCAAGGCGACGAUCUGUAGCUGGUCUGAGAGGACGACCAGCCACACUGGAACUGAGACACGGUCCAGACUCCUACGGGAGGCAGCAGUGGGGAAUUUUGGACAAUGGGCGCAAGCCUGAUCCAGCAAUGCCGCGUGCAGGAUGAAGGCCUUCGGGUUGUAAACUGCUUUUGUACGGAACGAAACGGCCCUUUCUAAUACAGGGGGCUAAUGACGGUACCGUAAGAAUAAGCACCGGCUAACUACGUGCCAGCAGCCGCGGUAACAC
rnacentral:rRNA from 1 species